UCCCUGGUGGCUCAGUCGGUAAAGCGUCUGCCUGCAAUGCAGGAGACCCAGGUUCAAUUCCUGGGUCGGGAA
rnacentral:tRNA from 1 species